rnacentral:rRNA from 1 species
UGCGUAGGCGGUUUAAUAAGUAGGGUGUGAAAUGCCAGGGCUCAACCUUGGCACGGCGCUCUAAACUGUUAAACUUGAGUGAGAUAGGGGUGUACGGAACUUCCGGUGGAGCGGUGAAAUGCGUUGAUAUCGGAAGGAACACCGGUGGCGAAAGCGGUACACUGGGUCUUAACUGACGCUGAGGCACGAAAGCUAGGGUAGCGAACAGGAUUAGAUACCCUGGUAGUCC